UACCUGCAGCUCGAGUGGUAACCGCUAUUAUUGGGCCUAAAGCGUCCGUAGCCGGUUUGGUAAAUAUCUGGGUAAAUCGUGAGGCUUAACUUCACGAAUUUCGGAUAGACUGCCAGACUUGGGAUCGGGGGAGGUCAGAGGUACUCCAGGGGUAGCGGUGAAAUGUUGUAAUCCUUGGAGGACCACCGGUAGCGAAGGCGUCUGACUAGAACGAGUCCGACGGUGAGGGACGAAGCCCUGGGGCGCAAACCGGAUUAGAUACCCGGGUAGUCCAGGGUGUAAACGAUGUGAGCUUUGUAUUGGAGGUCACACGUGGGCGUCCAGUGCAGAAGAGAAGUUGUUAAGCCCACGCCUGGGAAGUACGGUCGCAAGGCUGAAACUUAAGGAAUUGGCGGGGGAGCACAGCAACGGGAGGAGCGUGCGGUUU
rnacentral:rRNA from 1 species